AUUGAACGCUGGCGGCAGGCCUAACACAUGCAAGUCGAGCGAGCGGCGGACGGGUGAGUAAUGUCUGGGGAUCUGCCUGAUGGAGGGGGAUAACUACUGGAAACGGUGGCUAAUACCGCAUACCAUCGGAUGAACCCAGAUGGGAUUAGCUUGUAGGUGGGGUAAAGGCUCACCAAGGCGACGAUCUCUAGCUGGUCUGAGAGGAUGAUCAGCCACACUGGAACUGAGACACGGCCCAGACUCCUACGGGAGGCAGCAGUGGGGAAUAUUGCACAAUGGGCGCAAGCCUGAUGCAGCCAUGCCGCGUGUAUGAAGAAGGCCUUAGGGUUGUAAAGUACUUUCAGCGGGGAGGCGUUACCCGCAGAAGAAGCACCGGCUAACUCCGUGCCAGCAGCCGCGGUAAUUC
rnacentral:rRNA from 1 species